GGUAGAGUUCUUCGGAGCUUGAGACCGGCGCACGGGUGCGUAACGCGUAUGCAAUCUACCUUUCACAGAGGGAUAGCCCAGAGAAAUUUGGAUUAAUACCUCAUAGUAUGCAGAGUUGGCAUCAACACUGCAUUAAAGUCACAACGGUGAAAGAUGAGCAUGCGUCCCAUUAGCUAGUUGGUAAGGUAACGGCUUACCAAGGCUACGAUGGGUAGGGGUCCUGAGAGGGAGAUCCCCCACACUGGUACUGAGACACGGACCAGACUCCUACGGGAGGCAGCAGUGAGGAAUAUUGGUCAAUGGGCGCAAGCCUGAACCAGCCAUGCCGCGUGCAGGAUGACGGUCCUAUGGAUUGUAAACUGCUUUUGUACGGGAAGAAACAACGAUUCGUGAAUCGUCUUGACGGUACCGUAAGAAUAAGGAUCGGCUAACUCCGUGCCAGCAGCCGCGGUAAUACGGAGGAUCCAAGCGUUAUCCGGAAUCAUUGGGUUUAAAGGGUCCGUAGGCGGUUUAGUAAGUCAGUGGUGAAAGCCCAUCGCUCAACGGUGGAACGGCCAUUGAUACUGCUAGACUUGAAUUAUUAGGAAGUAACU
rnacentral:rRNA from 1 species